AAGUAUUCGAGUUAUCACCUUUGCCGAUAGCAAGGUCAAAUCGGCUGGCACGCCUUAACGUUUGAGUCGGGUAUUAGCCCUUUGUGUUUGCAGAUCAGUUUUGCAUCAACAGCUAUGCAUAUGAGUUGUGCAACCAUAACACUGGGGUGUUACAGUUAUCCUUUUCCUUUCAACUAUUCAAUUAUAGUUUGCUUAGUUAAUCAGGUUCAUAUCAUCUCGAAAAGAAAAUAAAAAUGUUAAAAAUAGUAAGCCCCAUGUGAGUAUGCUCAUGGCAUAAAACCCAUAGGUACAUUCACUGUGGUGGCAUAAAAUAAAUAUGUUUUCAUCUUACAAUAAAAAUAUAAAAAUAAUAAGUGCAUGAUCCUACUAAAUAAAUAACAUUUAUUGAGGAGGCUCAACAUGAUAAAGGCUAGAUAUUUAUGCUAACACUUAACCAGUUCCACAAAGCCUUGUUGUCUAUUUGAGCUCCAUAGAAUUCAAGGAUCAAAAAAGACUAGCAGACGGAGGACAUCCUAAUCGCUGUCACGGUGCUGCCAACUUUCAAAUACACCUCCACCACCUGCUAGCUACAUCAGAAGAAAUUACGUCAAAAUCCAGCUUGGGGGAGAGCACCCCCAUUUAUCCAGCUAAGUAUUUCUACUCGCAUUUAUACUUUACUCAAAUAAUAAAAGAUGCAUAAUCAUGAAAACCCAAUUAAAGAUUUUGUGCUUUUAUAUAUAUAUCUUUGCUUAGUUUGCUGAAUAAAUAAAUAAAUAAAGUUUGCUAUGAACCCUCAUGAUAAACUCUCACGUGGAAAUGAUGAAUAGUUGCUCUACCAUGACUAGUUCUUAAAACUGAAAUCUCUCUCAAGUUUAUGCAUGACUGUUAUGAAGUAAGAUUUGCUCUAAACCUGAACUUGUGGGAAGAGUACUUGAUCUAAAGUCUAAGUUGUUAACGGAUAUGAUAUGGGAAGGUUGAGCUGCUGUUUAUCUGUUCGUAGAGAUGCUAGAAUUCUAGAGAAUUUUGUCAUUGAAAAUGUUUAAAAUAACACAUGAUGAGUUCUUAUAUGAUGAGAGUUUAAAUUCCUACCACAGCCAUAUUUACAUGCUUGCUAGACUUUGAGCCACACAUUUACUUUUUACUGCUUAUGAGCAUUGAGUGUGGUCAAGCUGUGUAGACCCUUAGAAGCUUGUCAUGUGGUUAUAAUCAAGAUUCACUUGCACAUUCACUCACACAUGCUGCUUCUACUCCGGAAGUACGCAUCCACAUACAUCCACUCAAUUCCAUCUCCAGAUUCAUCUAAAAUUAUUCUACUCCUAAUCCGGGAGAGAAUAGCCAAAAACAUUUUCCUAUCCCUGUUAUUCCCUGUGAAAUAAAUGCUCCAGUUAUUUUGGUUACUACCACUUGCUACAUUAUUUCAGGAGAUGAGUGCUCUAAAAAAAAUAGAAAGAAAAAAAAAGAGAAAAAAAAAUAUACGAGGAGAUAAAAAGGGGCAAGUGCCCGGAACCUCGAAGAAAAGAAAAAGUGAGACGAGAGGUAAAAAUGGACAAGUGUCCGACAGUAGAAUUAGGGGUACAAGAUACCCACCUGAGAGGAAAGAAAAAGAAAAUAUAGAGCAUCUCAUUCUCCCUAAAAAACUUCAAAGUGCAAGAAAGGUAUGUAUCCCCUUAAAAGAGCAAAAAUAGAAUUAGACUUUCACCAUUGUUAUCACCAUCAUCACCAUACACCAUUCAUUCGCCACACAUGCACAUCUUGAUUUGACUUAUUGACUUGUUUCUCUGGAUCCAUGGUUUGACUAUGCAAUAAAUGUCUUGUAAGUAUGUAUUAGCUGUCUCCCACCUAUGAGCUCCAGAUAUCAAAACCUUAUUAGAGUAGGGUGAGAGAGAAGGCAUAUCACUAUGCAUUAUACCAAAAAUACCACAUACUUUGAGAGAAGGCAUAUACCAUUACUGCCUUAGUAAGGGUCUAGAAAUACCACAAAAGAGAGAUUUGAGAGAAUCAUAUAAGGAAUCUCUGAGUUUUAUUUGAAAAUCUGCAAAAACUCCAGAGCUAUAGCUGAUCAAGAAUAAGAGACAUGGCGUUUGACUUGACCGUUCUAUCUUUUGACUACUCAAGACACAAGUGACGGUUACAAGCCUCAUGGUGAAAGGUAAAAUGAGUAAGUUUUAAGUCUUAACAGUUUAUUCUAACUCAGAGAUGAGAUCUUGCUUGAAUGCGUGUGUACUUUUAAGGCAUGAAACCACUGCAGAAACUCUUAAGUCGUGCUCAGGGACGAGCAAGAGGUAAGCUUGGGGGAGUUGUUGACGGUCCUUAAGUACCAAAUAUAAUCAUCAAAUAAAUAAAUAAAAGGAUCCAAAUGCAACCAACACUCAGACUUAGGGUUUUAUCUGAUAGAAUUCCACGAGUUUUGGUGUUUGUCUAUUUCUGCAGGGGGUUAUCAGGAAAUACGGAAGAAAGGCCAACAUGUCGGGAUUACAUAGAGAUAUCAAUGCACCGCACAAUUUUCUACCGUCUAGAAGACUCCAGAAGCCAUGGGAAGGAAGCGGAGGCUAAAAGGACCCAGAGGCAGGGCGCCCGCCCUCCUCCCUGGGCGCCCACCCUGACUUGGAGUCCAAACAGGACUCUCUUCGGGGAUUACUCUCCACCGACCUAAAGGAUCAAGGAUAACCGUCCAAUCAAUGUCGGUUUGAUCUGACGGCCCAGGUUCACUUGAGGGGACUAUAAAACCAGACCCCCUGGCCCCUGGAGGAGACAAGUUUUUGAUAGAGCUGAGAGGAGCCCUUGAAGGAAUACCCCUUCUCUAAAUAAAAUUUAUUUUAGGCUUAGCAUCCAAUGUGAGUAGAAUUAGAUCUUCUAGUUUCUACUAGAUUGAGAGAGAUAGAGUGGAGGUGUAGAUUGGAGGAAGGCCGGCCUGUCGGUGUCUACUCCGAGGUUGUACCUGCGGGAUCAAGUCUUCUAACCCGAGGCUUGCUCCAAAGAUUCUUUAGUAAUUCGACUUCUAAUUCUAGUAAGUUCUUGUUUUAUUGUUCUUUGGUUUAUGAGUUUACUUUAAUCCUCUUCCGGUUGAGUAUUAGAGUAAUCAUUGCUAGCGUAAACGUGGUGUUUAGGCUAGGGUACUCAUAGAUAUCCCC
rnacentral:lncRNA from 1 species